AUUUUAGUAGUUUUCCAUGAUGUUUCUAGAUGCGGAUUUCUUUUUAUUUAUCCUACUCAGGAUUCAUGGGUCUUUUUGUAUCUGUAAAGUGAUAUCUUUAGUCAGUUCUGGGAAGUUCUCAUUCAUUUUCUCUUUGAUGGUUACCUCUGCCAUAUUCUCUACUUUCUUUCUGGUACUCCAGUUAAACAUAUUUUAGAUUUUCUCAUUGUACUCCCUGUCUCUUACCCUUUCUUGUGUAUUUCCCAUCCUUUUUGUUGCCCCAUAUUUGAUACUAGGUAUUUUUACUAAUUAUCUCUUCAAUUGUGUCUAAUAAUAUGUUGUUAAACCCACCCACUGAGUUCUUAUUUUCAAUUGUUUUAUUUUUAUAGUUCUAGCAUUUUAUUGGGUUCUUUUUCAGAUGGGUUUUGGGGAAGGCUGUCUAUAUUCAGGGCCUGAGGGGACCUCUUUCAAGUGCCCUGGUUUGAUCCCCCCUCCGCAGGGUGGGGUGGUGUUCAGAACAAGGUUGACUACUCACUUUCAAGGACAGCACCAGGCCUGGGAGGAAAGAUCCACCAGAGGUACGCCGGGGGCAUGGAGGAGUCAGUCCCUGCUACCUGAUGUUGGCCAAAGCUCCCAGGGGACAAAGUAGCCAGAGAUUGCCAGCUCAUUCUGGAAGGGCUCUUUCUUCUCUGGAAUUGUUUACACUGCUGUCCAAAGACUUUAAAGUAUGAAUUUUGUGGGGCCGGAAGGAGGUGAAUUCUUUUUAUUUUUCUCUAGUUUUUGCAGCAGGAGUGUCAGUCUGUGCAGACUUAUAAAUUCUACAAAAAAAAAAUUAUAAAAGAGAGAAAGAAAGAGAGGAAGAAAGAGAGAGAGAAAGAAAAAAAAGAAAAAGCCCUGUUGUGUUUUCUUGGUGUUUCCUUUUUAUCCCCCAUCCUGAGUUUUGCUGGAAUGAACAACACUACUUUGUUUUCUUGUGAUUUGGAAGUUUUAUGUUCUAUUUCUGGUUUCAUGGUUUCUUUAUCAGUUUUAACAAAUAUUUUUAUUUAAAUGUCAAUAAUUAUAUAACUCCCCAUCCCCUAGCAAGACAAAGACUUUAUAUUGCUUUAUUUCCUCAUCUCCCUUCUCUGGCUCCUCAGCCUUUAUAGAUGGUCAUAGCUCCUUAACUGGUAUUCUGCGCUUGGGUCUGUCUCUUCUGAUGGACUCUCUACCUUUCCAUCUUUUUGAAGUGAUCAACCCUCCCCAACAGAAAACCCUUCAGUAGCUUCCCAUAACCCUUCCAAUAAUGUCCAGACUCAACAUAGCACAUAAGGUGCCCUCUGAAUCCUGCCACCUUUUCUGGCUUCUUCUAAAAAAUCCCCACUCCCUAAAGAAAAGAAAUAUACUAAAGCACAGAAAUAUCUGGGUCAAGUCAGCACUUGAGAGGAUUAUCACACGAUGAAGUACCUCUACUCCCCCAUUUGCCUCUUGCCUCUACAGCAAGCCCCUUGAGGGCAGGGGCUGCUAACUUAUCUUGGUGCUCCCAGCACUUAGCUGGAACAUUGUAUGAUGAGUAAAUGCUUCUGGGAACAUUGAUGAGUAAAUGCUUAGCUGGAACAUUGUAUGAUGAGUAAAGGAAGGAAGGCAGGAAUGGAGGAAUGAAGGAGGCGGUGAUUUCUCUAGAUAGGCCUGGGCUUCCCAGGGCAGGAGUGGAGACAGCCCUGGGAAACAUUCUGAGAGGACACUCCUGGAGGUGCCUCAGGUGGCUGUUCAAUAAAGUAAGAAAAGGACUUAAGAGCAAGGUGGCUAUGUUAGAGACAGUUUGAUUACAAAAAGCAGAGUCCUUGUCAAGUUAAAAAAAAAAAGGCAAGGGGGCCUGGGUAUGUUAGAAAGCAUCAGUCUGUCAUGGAAGCCACAGUCAGUGUCUCUGUCUGUUCAGGCUGCUAUAACAGGAUACGAGACUGGGUGGCUUAUAAAUGACAGAAAUACAUUUCUCUCAGUUGUGGAGGCAGGGAAGUCCAAGAUCAAGGUGCCAGCAGAUUCAGUGUCUGGUAAGGACCUGCUUUCUGGUUGACACUGUGGAAGGGGUGAGGGAACUCUCUUAGGCCUGUUUUAUAAGGUCACUAAUCCCAUUUAUGAGGUCUCUGCCCUCAUGACCUAAUCACCUCCCAAACGCCUCACCUCCUAAUAACAUCACAUUGGGGGUUGUGUUUCAACAUCUGAAUUCUGGGGGGGACACAAACAUUCAGACCAUAGCAGUCAGGAAGAUAGCCAGGCCACUUGAGAGACCACGAGGCCAGUCCUUUCCUCUUUGGGACUGUGUGGCAUUCGUCAUAGCUUCUCUUUGUGAACUGCUUCCUUUCUCUUUCUCUGCUUUCUUGUGCAUGUCCUGGAAAAUGGAUGCCCUGGUCCUGCCUUUCUGGUCUGAGCCCUCUAAAGCUGCCUGGAGCCCCUCUGUCCCAAUUACAGCUCUAGGGCCUGAGGCUCUGGGUCAGGGGCCUCUGCCACAGCCUGAGAAGGUCACGUGACUUACUGCCUAAGAGUGGCAGCAGCAGAGGUGUGGGUGGCGCAGACUGAUUGACGGCCACAAAGUGAUGUUUUCUCAGUCUCUCUUUUUCAUCAAUCCUGAAAAGCUUGUCUGUGCAGAAGAGAAAUAUCUGCCUGAUAAAGAGAAAACGACUAGUGACCUAAGUCAGACUGUUUCUGAAAGGCAGUUUUAUUCCUCGAAGCUUGGCCAGGAGUAAAAAGCAUGAAAAGAAGAGUCUGAAAUGGAAAAACAGAAGAAAGAAAUAGAAGAUCAGUUUGCUUUGCUCAAUGCAGCUCAGCCUGACCAGCCAGACUUUCCCUAAAUUGAGGAAUAUCCGAAUAAUAAGUUACUGUUUAUUGAGCUCUCCUUGUGAAUCGGGAACUGCGUGAGUGCACAAGUGGACACUAUUUCCGUAAUCAGGCUGUUCCCACGCUGAGGCUGCAUUUCUUCCCAGUCCUUCACCUCCUGAGUGGCUGUGACCCAGCGGAAGUCACGUGGUGUGAAAUGAUUACAGCGUCACCCAAACCACCCACAGUGGACACAUUCAACCAAGUGGUAACGUCUGGUGGUCUGAUGCCUCAUUUCCACAUAAUACUUUUUAUAGCCCUGAAAAUGGAAAUCCUGGCAUCUAAACACAGCCGAACAUGUUAACACUAAUACAAGGCACUGUGCUAUGGGGUUUGGUUUAUUUAUAGGGAAGGUCAUGUUUGCAUAGAUUGCUAGCGAUUUAGUGUGCGAUAAAAUAGAGGCCCCAGCAUGCGUGGCCUUGUGAUGGAUGAAGCGGCGCGACGCUCCGCCAGCUCAGGGGCAGCACUGGCUAUCUUCUCCAGCCCCAGCCUAGUGGGCAGAUCCCUAAGGCCCCUACAGGAGAGUUUUUUGCUCAAAAAGCUGCAGGUCAAAGCGCACCCAGACCUCCCCAGUGGGGACCUCAUGCAGCAGCAGUCGGCGGGUUGUAGGGCCUUUGCUUUCCUGUUCUGUUCGAAUUUUUGCCACUGGAACUUCAGUGCGACCCAGGAAAUCUGGUGAAUAGACAAGUGAGAGUCAAAAGUCUUCUUUAAAAAACUGUUAAAAAACUAUCACAGAAGGAGUGUCUGAAACAGGAUUCAUAAAACUUUCAAAUUCAAAACAAGUAACUUCUUUUGGUUAAUGGCCGUUGGAUACUGUGAAUGGAUGGAUGCAUGCAGAACAAGGGAUUUGUGUGAGGGAAACUGAAACUGCUGGGAAUCCAAGCCUCUUUGGUCAGGGAAUGGCUCACCCAUUCAGUAGGUGCCAGGAGCACAGCGUUUCCAUUAGAUGCCGCCUUGAUCUUCUGGACCCAGGCCGUCCUGGAGGAGAAGCAGAGUGCCAUCGGGCAGACUUCGCACACGGCUCACAGGUCCACCAGGAGCCCCAGAGCUCUGUGCUUGCUAACCUUGGCUUUGAGAAGUUCCCAAUCAUAGACUUCACAGUAAUUCAACUGAAGGACUUGUUUGCUAAUUGAGGAUCAAGCUGAGAAUUUCUAGAAAGUUCUUGACGGCACCAAGCACUUGUCAGGUGCUGGGCGCACAGAGAUGGAAGAUGCAAUGGCAGCUCAGCACGACAAAUGACAGGUUCUACUGCAGAGAGCUGUGCACGCAGCGGAGGAGGAGCUACACCCAGAGGACAGGACGCGUAGCUGGCCAGGCAGGGAGGGAAGAAGGCACCCAUGCAGAGGGCAGUGGGGGAGGGCAGUGGGGGAGGGCAGACAAUCCGGCGGGAGUGCAGGGAUGGGACUGAGACCCAGAGGCACGGGACAGCCUCAGAGAGCAGGCGAAGGAGCACAGACUGUCCCUGAGGGAUUGCAGUAGGAAGUGAGGUGUUGGCUCUCCCACUUCGGAAGAUCCCGAGGAGAGGCUGGAAGCAGGAAAGUGUGUUAGAGGCGUUUGCGGUAACCUGGCACGUCUAAACCAAGGCCUGCCAGUGGGACUGUGGUGGAGGAGGAAUUAGUAGGGCGUGAGCACGGGCUGGAGGUGGGUUUAUGGCGGAGGGAGAGGUCAGGCUUUCUCCUAGGCCUCAAGGCAGGUCACACGUGGUCAGGACUGACCUCUCAUUAAUGUUGUCUGUUCGGAGGGUGUAGACCCGGUCAAUGUGAGAAAUGUGGAAGACAGGCUCAUCGCUGGAAGGGUCUGUGGGCAGUUUCACCAAGGCUUCAUUCAGGAAAAUGGGCUGAAAGAAUUAGGGCCAAAACACAGGCUGUGAAAUGGGUCAGAACACUCCACCCUCCUACGUCCAGAAUUGUCUGUUCUGAAGAGCCUUGUUGAGAAGUAGAGGGGUCUAGCUUCCAGAGUCCUUUACUUAGGAGAAAAGAAACUGCCUCUGUGUCAUGAAAGUAAAUAUCUAGGGUAGAUCAGAUGUUACUAAAGUGGGGACAGGAGCACCGAGUGUCUUUGACAGCUCACGUGACAGGGUCUCUCCUCCAGGCACUGACACUUGACCCUUCCCGUCAGCCUUGGUUUUACGGAGAGACCCGAUGCUGAAUGUGGACGGAGGUGGGAUCACACAUCGUGUUUGCUGCGAAGGAAGCUGGAAUCCAUAGCUGGAAUCCAGCUGGUGGCUGUCAGAGGGCAGUGAAGGCCCAGCCACACUAGGCUUCUUCCCUGGGAAGUGACAAAGGAAGCGUGAGCCGUCUGGAGGCAGGUGGAGAGAGUCCCAUGAGGACAGGAAAGGCUCAGGCUGGGAAGGAGGUCCUUAAAGUAAAGGAAACACCUCGUUGUGCUCUUGAUGCUACUGCCAGGAAUGUGACACUUACCAUUUUAUACAUUUUGAAUUGAGCGUUGGACUUAGAGCUGAAAAGUUUCUCGGAGCCCGAGGAAACAGCAAACUGCUUGACCAUGUAGGUGAGAAGCAGGAAGUCAUUGAAGAGGAACCCGUGCAGCUCCUUGUUGCUCUUGGUCUUGUACAGCUUUCCGCUGUGCAGGAGCUUGCGGGGUCCCAGGCAGUUGGUGAGGGAGUUGAAAACAAGUUGCUUAAAGAGAAAGAAACUGUCACUUUGUAACUCCCAGCACCCCUGGCGAGGCCAGCGCCCUGGACCUGAGGGAGGUGCGGUAGACCUUCUAGGUGGGAGUGUGGCUGUAAUCAUUCACUUUUGCACAGAAGAUCCUUACAUUUAUUUCUCUUCAAAGUUCAAACUGGCAUAGUGAAAAUAAUUACUUACAAAACCACAGAAUACUGAUUCUCCCGGCUGAAUUCAAAGAACUCAAAACAUCUCUCUUUAUGAGAAAGGAAGAUGACAACCCAAGAAUGGGCAGGAGGGUGAGUCUGCAUGGGCUGAGCUGAGGCACACACUGUCUACACUAGGGGAAGGCACGAACCUGGCUCCCCACCCAGAGCCUGCCUGGCGGCACCCAGCUCAGCCCCACAGGCCUCACCUCCGCGAGACCUUCACACUGCACGUGAGUCUGGAUCCACUCCAGUCGGUCUGAAUUUUCCUUCUCCCGAACUCCUUCAUUAACUUGCGAGCAGAGCUCCUCUGCCCGCUCGAGGGCCAGCUUCAGAGAGGAGUGGUCUACGUGAUUUUCUGGGGUGUUCUCCAGAAUCUGGAAGAGAGGGGGCUGUGUCAUGUGGGAUGUCUUACGUCUUCCACCUGCCCUGCCAUCUGGGUGCUGGGCGCUGGAAAUACAAUAGUGGGCAAGACAGUCAUUUACCCUUGAGAGGCUCAGGGCCCCCGAGUACUCGGGGAGACAGGUGACUCAGUGACAAGAGGGUGGGCCAAGCGCUACAUGGACCAAGUGCCCUGUGGGUCUCUGGUGGCCCUCUAGCUGGGUCUGGGGAUAGGCUGUAUGUGUAAGGGUGCGUCCCUACUUCCCCCAGUAACAAGCCAUGUGCCUUUAGGGUGAACCCUCCAGUAUAAACUGCCUGCGCCUUUGGUAAGUAUGUUAACUUGCUGAAUAGCAACAUUUCAUUAUAUUUUGGGGGUCACUGAUCCUUCUGAGAAAUCUGCUGAAAGCAAUGAAUCCCCUGCCACGGAAAAAAACACAAUAAAACCAUGUUGUCAGCAUGUAGGAAAAUGCAUUCAUUUCACUGAGAAGUGACUUCACGCUAAUGUUCCAAAGGUAAAGGGAUAGAGAAUGCAAAUUUGUGUGGUCCCUCUGGAAAUUAGCGGGCCCAUCAGUAGACGACUCCUGUGCUUCAUUUAUAGUUCCAAGAUAUGAAAAAGCUCUGGAAGCCUAAAGCUGUUUUCAUUACUCAUUUAGUGGCAAAACUUGACCUAAACUGAAGAGAUGAACUUUUUAUGUCUACUUAUAGUGAUUAUUCAUGAAUUUCUCUAUAGGACUAUUAAUGUGUUGCUUAUCGGUGCUGCCCAGGCUUGUUGGGGUGUCAUGUAAUAUACAGCAUUUGAAUUACAUUCUGAAUUCUGAAACACAUCUGGCCCCAAAUAUUUCAGGUAAGGGACUGUGGAUUAAUGUAUAUUAACGGGUCCAUUUGGUAUCAGAACUGUGACAUUAAUUCUGUAACAUAAGGUCUAUAUUGAGUUAACAUGGCUUACAAACCAGAGAUCAAGGCAUAAUAAAAGCAACAGUCUUAUAUUAUUUCUACUGUUUUUCUUUGUAAGAUGAUUAAAAUUACCUCAAUGAUUACCUGUGGAAUAAUCCUUUGAAAGUCUGCCUUCUCCUUAGAAGGCGUAUCAGCUCGAGAGGCCAACAUUGUUUGUGUCAAAAAGAUGAAUGGAAUUUUAGAGGGACUGUGUAGUCAGCCAGCUGAGGUAGGAUACAGCCAGGGGACGAUGAUGAGCUGUCUAGGACACUGAGUUGGAGACUGCUGGGACGUCUAGGUUACACAUUCAGUUGGUAGAUGAAUUCAGAUCUCAGCAGGAAGACUGGACCCCAAGGUCAUACUAACUGUGGACUCUUUCCACAGCUGGAGACCUAGAGGGCGUUGCCCUGCCUAGACAAAAUACACUCAUGACCCCGAGAGGCCAGGGAGCUUCCUGGGAAGGGGGAGGACAGGUAACCCAAAUGACCUGGAUACCUCUUUUAUUUGCCCACUUCAAGGAUUUAUCCUUUCAGACUGCAUGUGUGUCCAUGGGCGUGUGCGCGCACACACACACACGGUGCCUGGUCCACCAGACAGUAUAGUCGGACCACGUGGUGGGUGGCUGGUGUAUCUGGAGGCUCCCUAUCAGCCUCUGUGAAUCUCAAAGGGUCCUGCUUCUCCCAGCUGGGCACUUACACUUCUGAUGAGGAGGGGGUAGCGGGUGAUCCUCUGCAUGGGCUUCAGCAGGAAGCUGGAAAGGGGCAUUCCUUUACAUCGAGGGUCAGAUGCCAGCCUCUGCAAAAUAAUUGAGAGGCUUGUGAGGAAAUCAUAGCCUGAGGAAAACAAGGAAACAUUGGCUAUUCUCCUGACUUUGACCACCUUUUAGAUUUCUAACUUCUUUUAAAAACUCAGGAUCCAAAAUGAUACGUAUCAGGUUAACAGCAGGAAUAUCCCACUUCAUGCGCCAAAGCCAGUGGAUGCUUUCAGUUCUUUCUUAGGUGCGUCUGACAGCCUGUGCGAUCCCUCCCUCCCAUUGCUUCCGGAACCAGACUGUCUUCCCAGCCCACUGACCCUCUCAGUCUUCCUCACUCCUUUCCUCUCCUCUGCCCAAGAUCCCACACGACUGAGCCCCACAGUGUGACCAGACCAGCUGUGGAGCUCUACACUUGCCAAAUUACUCUCCAUCUCACCUGGAUGUCCCAAAGGCACCUCAAUACCUCAGCAUACCCGCAAGUGAAGUCCUCGUCUUCCCUCAUAAAAGCAUCCUCUUCUACCCCUAUUCCUAUCAGAGUUGGUAGCACCAUUCUUCACCCACUCACCUUCCCCCGCACAUACCUAGGAGUUACCACUGAUGCCAGUCUGUCUUCUAAGUAGCUCUUGAUCUCCCCCAUCUCUGCCUGCUCAUCACCCUGCUUCAUUCAUAACAAUACAUUUACUGAGCACCUGCUAUGAGCCAGGCUCACAAUGUCCUUUCUGCUCUUCCUUCACUUGGCUAAUUCAUAUUCAUCUCUGAAGACUCAGAUUAGCCUCCUCCAGUCCAGGCUCUCCCCUUCUUCAUGCCUCCCCUCCUUUUCAGUGAUCCUUCUCAAGCCCCCGAGGCUUCCUUUAUCAUCAUGCCACAUCUGAACUGGGUAACACAGGUAGAGGCAUCACAUAGGAGGUGUCUCUAUAACUCCCACCCAGACUGUUAACUCCAGGAUGCCAAGGACCACAUUUAUUUGCUUCUACUCCUAGGACUAGUACAGGACCUAACAGAGUAGCUAGUACUCUAGUAUGAUCAUUUUAAGGACUGAAAAAUAAUACAUUUACUAUAAUUUACCUAAUCAUUUCCCACUAUGGGAUAUUAAAAUUACCCCCUCCUUUUGUUUUUGGAUAUAUAUAUAUAUAUAUGUUUCUAAGAUAAGCAUCUUCAUGGUAUUUAUUUCUAUAUUUUGAGUCUUUUUAAAAAGUAACAUUUUAGAACACAGCUUGUUAGAUCUGCUUUUUAAUGUAAUCAACACCACGCCUUUCAUUAUGAGACUAAACACUUUUUAUUUAUUUUUGCUACUGUUACAAUUGUGGUGACACUGUCAUCCUAUUUACAUCCUAUUUUUUUAAUUCCUAUUUUUAUCACUAUUUGAAAAAAUUUUAAAUCUUUUACUAUGCUUUAGAAGGUAAAUGUCCUAUAUUUAAUUCUACUAUUAUUUUAAAAUGUUCACAUAUACUCAUAAUUCCACAUUUAUGUAAUUAUUCUGAUUAAUGUUUGUUUCUGUGAUCUUGGUUUC